UCGAGCUGAAGCCAGUUUGCUUUCGUUUAGACCUGCCCACAAGCUCCUCCAUUGGCUCUGCAUUCCUUGUGUGAUUGGCCGUCCCCGCUGUCACUCCAUCAGGUUAUAAACAGCACCAGGACGCACACCGGUCUGCCAGUUGGGGAGGAGGCCGUGUUAAUCUUCCGCUGCGCAGCCAGGAUGUCUAAAAAAAGAAAAGUGGACAUAAGAGACUUCUUUCAAAGUCAAAGUGUGACGGAUAGUAGAGAUGCAGAAGGAGAUCUAGGAGGAGAGGCUGGAGGAGGGAGAGCAGGAGAGGCUGGAGGAGAUAGAGGAGAAGAGGCUGGAGGAGGGAGAGCAGGAGAGGCUGGAGGAGAUAGAGGAGAAGAGGCUGGAGGAGGGAGAGCAGGAGAGGCUGGAGGAGGUAGAGGAGAAGAGGCUGGAGGCUCACAGGUGAGGUUGAAAGAAUAAACAUAUGUUAGUUAUGAGAUUAAACAUUGUGACAAAUGUUAGGGUGAUGAUAAUCUGUAUCAGAGCUUUCAAAGUUCAAACAUCAACAACAAAGUUCAACGUCAUUAUUGUAAUUAAUUAAAUUAUAAGUUGCUCAUAGAUAUUCCACCUUUUGUUAUGUCUAUCUUAGCUGGAUCAGCAGCAGCCAGGGGUCAGUGGAUGCUCAGGCAAUAAAGGAGAACAAGGUGGAAGAGCAGGGCCAGAUCAGAUAACUCAGCCAUAUCAGCCCAAUCCAAAAGAAAUAGCGGUUCAAAAACUUGCAAACAGAACCCUACAUUUCCAAGAGAAAUGGUUUAAAGAAUUUCCUUGGAUUCAUUACAGUCAUAGUGUGAAUGGAGUCCUGUGCUUUUACUGUGUAAAAGCAUUUCAACUUGA